rnacentral:rRNA from 1 species
AUAUUCCCGUACCGGCGUGUGACCGCAAGGGCCGUGCCGUUGAGGCCUGUCCUGAAGUGCCGCGUGUGGUUCCUUCGGGUUCCGCGUGUGGCGUGGAUGGCCGGGUGGAUGCGGUGUCGGCGAGCGGAGGAGUGACGCGGACAGGCGGCCGGCCGUGGAGGUGGUCUUCCAUGGCCAAGCGUUCGAGCCCGCUCCCCAGGCAAAUCCGGGGGGCGUUAUGGGCGAGGCGUGACGGGACGCCCCUUUUUGGGUGGAUCCGGUGAUCCCGUCCGUCGAGAAAAGCUUCGUCGCGAGGGCACACGGCGCCCGUACCCCAAACCGACACUGGUGGUCAGGUAGAGAAUACCAAGGCGAUCGAGCGAAUCCUGGUCAAGGAACUCGGCAAACCGCUCCCGUGCCUUCGGCAUAAGGGAGACCCCCCGGGGUGCAUAGCCUUGGGGGGUGGCACAGGCCAGGGGGUAGCGACUGUUUACCAAAAACACAGGUGCAUGCGAAGGCGCAAGCCGCUGUAUAUGCACUGACGCCUGCCCGGUGCCGGAAGGUUAAGAGGAUCCGUCAGCCCCUUGGGGUGAAGCGGUGAAUUCAAGCCCCGGUAAACGGCGGUGGUAACUAUAACCAUCCUAAGGUAGCGAAAUUCCUUGUCGGGCAAGUUCCGACCUGCACGAAUGGCGUAACGACUUCCCCGCUGUCUCGACCAGGAGCUCGGCGAAAUUGCAGUACGAGUAAAGAUGCUCGUUAAGCGCAGAAGGACGAAAAGACCCCGGGACCUUUACUAUACCUUGGUAUUGGCGUUAGGCGCGGAUUGUGUAGCAUAGGCGGGAGACUUCGAAGCCGUGACGCCAGUCAUGGUGGAGUCGCAAGGUGAAAUACCGCUCUGUUCUCGUUUGACGUCUAACCACGAGCGGUCAUCCCGCUCUGGGACAGUGCCUGGCGGGUAGUUCAACUGGGGCGGUUGCCUCCCAAAGAGUAACGGAGGCGCUCAAAGGUCCGCUCGGCCCGGUUGGCAAUCGGGUGUCGAGUGUAAUCGCACAAGCGGGCUUGACUGCGAGAACGACGGUUCGAGCAGGGACGAAAGUCGGAGAUAGUGAUCCGGUGCCGGCGCACGGGCGCGGCAUCGCUCAACGGAUAAAAGGUACCCCGGGGAUAACAGGCUGAUCAUUCCCAAGAGUCCAUAUCGACGGGAUGGUUUGGCACCUCGAUGUCGGCUCGUCGCAUCCUGGGGCUGGAGCAGGUCCCAAGGGUUCGGCUGUUCGCCGAUCAAAGCGGCACGCGAGCUGGGUUCAGAACGUCGUGAGACAGUUUGGUCUCUAUCCUCUGCGCUCGUUGGAAUGUUGAGGAGUCCUGCCCAUAGUACGAGAGGACCUGGGUGGACGAACCUCUGGUAUGCCAGUCGUCACGCCAGUGGCGCGGCUGGUUGGCCACGUUCGGAAGGGAUAACCGCUGAAAGCAUCUAAGCGGGAAGCCCUCUCCAAGAUAAGCAUUCCGUGGCACAUUUGUGCCUGUAGACCCCAUGGAGAACACGUGGUCGAUAGGCCGGAGGUGGAAGCCCUGUGAGGGGUGGAGCCGACCGGUACUAAUGGUCGAAC